AUAACAAGGUUUCCGUAGGUGAACCUGCGGAAGGAUCAUUG
rnacentral:rRNA from 1 species